UAGCGGCGAGGGAACCGGGAAGAGCCCAGCGCUGAAUCCUCCGGGUCUUGCCACUCGGCUGGAAAUGUAGCGUAUAGGAGGACUCGUUAACGGAGGGCAAUCGGUACGCUCAAGUCCUGACUUGAACGAGGCCACACAGAGGGUGACAUGCCCGUGGGGCGGCCGAGAACCUUUCGUGAGUCUCUCCUGAGAGUAGGUUUGCUUUGAAACGCAAACUGAAGCAGGUGGUAGAUUCCAUCUAAGGCUAAAUAUAACCACGAGACCGAUAGCGCACAAGUACCGCAAGGGAAAGGUGAAAAGAACUUUGAAGAGAGAGUUCAAGAGUACGUGAAACUGAGUUGACUGAAAUUGGACGAGACCGAAAAGUCCGAAUGGGGACAUUCAGGUGUACCGCGCCGGUGCCCAUGCGGGGAAGUUGGCCUUGCCUCUCGCUCUUCGGGGUUGUGAGCCUGGUCUCGGAACCGUGUGGCGUGCGUCUGGUGCGGGAUUCUGCACUUGUCCCCUAGUAGGAGGUCGCGACCCGUUGGGUUUGGUCGGCUUGUGGCCCCAGGGUGGUAGCACGGCGGCUCAGACCCGAGCCGUCGAACCCCAGGUGUGUCAGUCAGCCCCCGACGGUAGCAUAAAACUAAGGUGACGGGACCGCUCUUCGGAGCGUUUCGCCUCGUGCGGGACAGGUCCUUGAACCGGUCGGCGGCUUUAUUGUUUUUGGUACUCGCCCGCCCCGUCUUGAAACACGGACCAAGGAGUCUAGCAUGUGCGCAAGUCAUUGGGUGUUAAACCUAAAGGCGCAGCUAAAGUGAAGUUCCCGAGACUCAGGGCGCCUCGCGCGUCCUCUCUCCGCGGAACAGCGGUGAUGUUCGGCGCUGCUUCCGCAUCCGAACCGCAACCGCGGGAUGUCUAUGUCUCGUCGAGACUGGAUGUCCUCUGAGCGUACAUGUUGGUACCCGAAAGAUGGUGACCUAUGCCUGGCCAGGAUGAAGUCAGGGGAAACCCUGAUGGAGGUCCGAAGCGGUUCUGACGUGCAAAUCGAUCGCAUGAGCUGGGUAUAGGGGCGAAAGACUAAUCGAACCGUCUAGUAGCUGGUUCCCUCCGAAGUUUCCCUCAGGAUAGCUGGAACUCGCUCGGAGAACGUUGCUAAUGAAAGAGUCUCAUAUGGUAAAGCAAACGAUUGGAGAUCUUUGUGUCGAGAUGACGUAAACCUACUCUCGAACUUUAAAUGGGUGAGAUGAGGGGCGGUGCCUAGUCACCCGCCCCAAGCCUUAUGGCAACGAGAUCUAUAGAGCUCCAAGUGGGCCAUUUUUGGUAAGCAGAACUGGUGCUGUGGGAUGAACCAAACGCGAAGUUAAAGCGCCUAAGUGAGAGAGUACGUAUACCAUGAAGUGUGCCAGUUGCUAGAGACAGCAGGACGGUGGCCAUGGAAGUCGGCACCCGCUAAGGAGUGUGUAACAACUCACCUGCCGAAGCAACUAGCCCCAAAAAUGGAUGGCGCUUAGAUCUUUCCGCUUAUACUUCGCCGUCACGGCAAAGGCGGUCGCUCUUGAGCGGCCUUGAAGCGGUGACGAGUAGGAGGGUCGCACCGGUGUGCGCUGAAGCGUUGGGCGUGAGCCUGCGUGGAGCCGCCGGUGGUGCAGAUCUUGGUGGUAGUAGCAAAUACUCCGAUGGAGGCUCGGAGGACUGUUGCGGAGGAGGGUUUCGUGUCAACAGCAGUUGAACACGAGUGAGUCGGUCCUAAGCCCAUGGGGGAAGCCUCUCCCAGCGCUCUGUGUCUCUGAUCAGAACGUUAUUGGGCGAAAGGGAAUCAGGUUAAGAUUCCAGAACUCAGGUCGGUACUGAUGCAGGUUUCAACCUGUCACGGUAACGUGAACGACCCCGGAGAAGCCGUUGGGGCCUGCCAGGAGAGUUAUCUCCUCUGUAUAAGGGUGCAUGAUCCCUGGAAAGCCGUCAAGGCGAGAUAGGGAACGCCGCACGCGAAGAGCAGCGCACUUCGUGCGUUGUUGGCAGGAUACUUCGGACGUUGAAAAUCCGGGUGGGGGCCACGCGGACGUUCGACCUAGAGCCGUACCGAAUCCGCAGCAGGUCUCC
rnacentral:rRNA from 1 species